UGAAUUUAUAUUAAAUAAAGAAGAAGAAGAAAAAACGCAGCUGAGCAACACUGCAGCCAGAGUGGUGGGCAUUGCAUUUACACCACAUUGUGAGUUAAAAGCGUAAAGAUAAUUUUAAAUUAAAGAAAGAAAAGAUUUUAGUAAAAACCACAAACGAAAUUUUUAUGUAAUCUAAUUUUGUACAAAAACACCUCUUCUGACGUCAACAAGCGGGAGUACGGUUUCAUGAAAGUGUAAAACCAAUGCUUUGCACAUCAAACUGUUGAUGGUGUUGCUGUAUUCAUAACAACUGUUCUGGUUCAACUCUUGUGCCAGUGCUGCCAAAUCAACG
rnacentral:lncRNA from 1 species